CUUCCUGUCUUCACUCCCUCCGUCCAAAAGCUCGUUAAUAUUUCCAGAGUAUUCUGCCUCCCAGUCCUCGUUAACACUUUCCUGCGCUCCUUCCUCUCCAAGUUGUAACGUGAGACUAGACGCUUUUAACAGCAGCUGCACGGUACUACAGGAACAGCAAAAGUAGUAACAGACGAAUCGGUGUCAGAAGAAGACAAAAGGAGGUGUGUUGACAAUGAAUUGGACUGAAGUUGCAUUGAUCAAAA